rnacentral:rRNA from 1 species
GAUGAACGCUGGCGGCGUGCCUAAUACAUGCAAGUCGAGCGAACAGACGAGGAGCUUGCUCCUCUGACGUUAUCGGCGGACGGGUGAGUAACACGUGGAUAACCUACCUAUAAGACUGGGAUAACUUCGGGAAACCGGAGCUAAUACCGGAUAAUAUAUUGAACCGCAUGGUUCAAUAGUGAAAGACGGUUUUGCUGUCACUUAUAGAUGGAUCCGCGCCGCAUUAGCUAGUUGGUAAGGUAACGGCUUACCAAGGCAACGAUGGGUAGCCGACCUGAGAGGGUGAUCGGCCACACGGGAACUGAGACACGGUCCAGACUCCUACGGGAGGCAGCAGUAGGGAAUCUUCCGCGAUGGGGGAGAGCCUGACGGAGCAACGCCGCGUGAGUGAUGAAGGUCUUCGGAUCGUAGAACUCUGUUAUUAGGGAAGAACAAAUGUGUAAGUAACUAUGCACGUCUUGACGGUACCUAAUCAGAAAGCCACGGCUAACUACGUG